CCUACGGGAGGCAGCAGUAGGGAAUUUUCCACAAUGGGCGAAAGCCUGAUGGAGCAAUACCGCGUGCAGGAUGAAGGCCUUCGGGUCGUAAACUGCUUUUAUGUGCGAAGAAUUUGACGGCAACACAUGAAUAAGGAUCGGCUAACUACGUGCCAGCAGCCGCGGUCAUACGUAGGAUCCAAGCGUUAUCCGGAAUUACUGGGCGUAAAGAGUUGCGUAGGUGGCAUUAUAAGUGGAGCGUGAAAGCGUGCGGCUCAACCGCAUUAUUGCGUUCCAAACUGUGAAGCUUGAGUAUGGGAGAGGUAGAUGGAAUUUCUAGUGUAGGAGUGAAAUCCGUAGAUAUUAGAAGGAACACCGAUGGCGUAGGCAGUCUACUGGCCCAUUACUGACACUAAGGCACGAAAGCGUGGGGAGCAAACGGGGAUUAGAUACCCCGGGUAGUCCACGCUGUAAACUAUGGAUGCUAGCUGUGACACACAUCGACCUCGUGUCGUAGCGAGUAACGUACGUAGACACNCCGCCGUCGGGUAGGUACGGUCGGCGAGAGUUAAACGUUAACGUAAGUAGUAGACGUGAGAGACGCGACGACGACGACGACGGAGGAGGAGG
rnacentral:rRNA from 1 species